AUCUUAAUCUAUUUAGGAUGAUCAACAUCGUGAAGAGGAUGCUUAGUGAUUAUCUUUUGUGCCUCUGGAACCUACCAAGAAUAAAGCUUUCUUUGAAGCACAUGGUGCAUGUAAGAGAAUGAAAAACUUCUAAUUCCAUCUCAGUUCAAACUGUCUUCGUAGACCUUCUUGAUUCCCCUCAGCAAGUCUAACUUGCUUGUUGAAGAUUUGGAAACUCAGUGCUUAAAAGGAACUUUGCAAUUUGGCAACCUGUCCAUACUUUGUUUGUUAGUAGUCACAUAUAUAGAAGUCACUAAUGGAAGAUUCAGAAGGAAACUAAUGAACACUUUUUAACAUUAUUGUUGAUGAUUUGUUGAUACAAUGUAGAUAAAUCUAGGCUUUGUGAAACUGGUUUGGCAGUGAUUAUUUUUAGAGGUUUCUCAUACAAUAAUUGUCUGGCCUUUUCUAUUAUUCAAGUUGUGGGGAUUUGUUUCAUUGUCCAUUGUUCAGAAUGUAUAUUCAUUCAUUAACAAUUUACUUAGGUUAGCCCUUGAAAUGUGAUAUGCUAGUUACCUCAGUAGUUGUUGAUUUUGAUUAUGCUUUUA